rnacentral:pre_miRNA from 1 species
AAAGUACUCCCUCCGUCCAGAAUUACUUGUCAUCAAAAUGGAUGUGUCUAGAACUAAAAUACAUCUAGAUACAUCCAUUUCAAUGACAAGUAUUUUCGGACGGAGGGAGUACAAG